AGAUUGAACGCUGGCGGCAUGCCUAACACAUGCAAGUCGAACGGGAGUAGCAAUACUCUAGUGGCGGACGGGUGAGGAAUACGUAGGAAUUUGCCCUUAAGUGGGGGAUAACCCGGGGAAACCCGGAUUAAUACCGCAUGACCUCGAAAGAGCAAAGUGGGGGAUCGCAAGACCUCACGCUUUUGGAGAAGCCUACGUCGGAUUAGCUAGUUGGUGAGGUAAUGGCUCACCAAGGCGACGAUCCGUAACUGGUCUGAGAGGAUGAUCAGUCACACCGGAACUGAGACACGGUCCGGACUCCUACGGGAGGUAGCAGUGGGGAAUAUUGGACAAUGGGCGCAAGCCUGAUCCAGCAAUGCCGCGUGUGUGAAGAAGCCUGGUUGUAAGAC
rnacentral:rRNA from 1 species